AUGGGUUUCGACGAGGACGGCCUAGCGGAGGACUUGGUCGUCUCGGCCGCCAUCAACCGCGGGCUGCACACACUCGAUUCGGCCGUCGGCACCUAUAUCUCCAUCGAAAUCCUCGACGCCACCGGCAAGCACACCGUCUUCCACAAUGAGAGCAACCGGGCAACGAUACAAGAACCCAGCGAGUGCUUCAUGUUGUGCCUAUGCGUGAGCAGGAGGGAGAUGGAGGCGUCGUCGUGCGUGUGUGCCCGUUACAACGAAUUCACCCUCAGGUGCACCCUGGAGAAGAAGCAGCAGCAAAAAAAGCGGCCACGCCUCCUCGGAAACUCGUUGAAAUCCGAUGCUGUCUUGGAGCCACCGCAGGUCGCCAUGGCCGGGUCCCACACGCUUACCAUCGGGAGUGUCUCCCAGCUCAGGGCGGCACUUCAGGACGGGGAGUGUGCCUACUCCACGCACUUCGCCGUGGGAGGGAGCACAUGGUACCUCAAAUUCUGCCCCAGAUCGUAUAAAUUGACUUACCUGUACCUCGUCCGCGCGAACAAGGUGGAGGAGACCCCGGUAACGACAGCCGAGUUCAGCUUUGAGCUCGAGGGGGCGGUGAACUUCGAGUCCCAGAAGAUGAGACACACAUUUGACCGUGACAAUGAUGACUUCUACUGCCAGCUGGAGCAAAUUGGCGCGUCGCCCAUGCAGGAGGACCGCCUCGUUGUUCGGUGCUGUCUCGCCAUUAUCAUGCCGGAGGAGAUUCCGACCGCCGUCACCUUGUGCAGCGAAUCAGUGCUGACUCCUACUUGGCGCCAUGCAUGCCUAGCUAGUUUGCGUUGCAGAAGGCAAGUUCAGGCAAAAUUAGUAUAG
rnacentral:rRNA from 1 species